CCUACGGGUGGCAGCAGUGGGGAAUAUUGCACAAUGGGGGAAACCCUGAUGCAGCGACGCCGCGUGAGUGAAGAAGUAAUUCGUUACGUAAAGCUCUAUCAGCAGGGAAGAAACACUGACCUUACGGUCCGCAGACGGUAACUGAGUAAGAAGCCCCGGCUAACUACGUGCCAGCAGCCGCGGGAAUACGUAGGGGGCAAGCGUUAUCCGGCUUUACGGGGUGUAAAGGGAGCGGAGACGGUGCGCCAAGUCUGGAGUGAAAUGCCGCAGCUUAACUGCGGAACUGCUUUGGAAACUGGCGAACUAGAGUGCGGGAGGGGUAGGCGGAAUUCCUAGUGUAGCGGUGAAAUGCGUAGAUAUUAGGAGGAACACCGGUGGCGAAGGCGGCUUACUGGACCGUAACUGACGUUGAGGCUCGAAAGCGUGGGGAGCGAACAGGAUUAGAUACCCGUGUAGUC
rnacentral:rRNA from 1 species